ensembl:lncRNA
UUCCCAUACUCCAUCAAUAUUUGCUAAAUAAUUGGAUGGAUUAAAAGUAGCAGAAGGGUGAAGCGGAAGCUGGGGGAUGUUGUCUUUAAAUUACCAAAGGCAGUUCAUGAACAUGAGACCUAUUUCUUUUUGACCAAUAGGCCCGGCCUGGGGUCUGGGAUAUGGUUUACCUUCCACCCGUGUGUGUGUAAACAAUGUGCUGUUUACAUGGGGGUCCCUUUGCAGAGUUUAAUAACUAAAUUGGUUUUCCUCACAUUUCUAGUAACUAUACUGAGUUGGUGUUCCUAGCGACCAUUUCCUCUCUCUUUAAGCUAAUCAGGAUUGGUAGCUACCAUUUAGUUCAAUGCACUCCAUUUACUGAUGAGGCUCCACUGUUAGAGUUACCCGGCGUAGCACUAAUCAUGACACAUAACCAGCCCGUAUGCUGAGAAGCUUACACAUGCUAAUUCUCCAACCCUCAUAACUUCCCUGUGAGGUGAGUAAUAUUAUUAUCCCCAUUCCACAGAUGAAAAAGUAGAGGCUCAAUAAGGUUAUGCACUUGCUCAAAUUGCACAGUGGCAAAGCCAGGACUUGAACCCAGACGAGCCUUGAUCCCAGAGCCCUUGCACUGAACAGUUUCUCUGGUCUGCUAAUAAGAUGUCAGAGAAGAAGCCAAACCAAGCAAGUGCUCUUUUUACUGUCAUACACUGUCACCACUCUCUGGGUCACUGGAAGGCAAAUACCUCCUAAUUCCUUCGAAACAGCAAAUGUUCUGAUGAAGUGGUUGAGGAUACACAUUUGGGAAACAUGCAGCUCCUCCAAAAGAAUGUCCAUAAAUAUAUUGGAAAUACAUUUAUUAAAGAAGUCGUGUGUGGGAAUUAUUAACCUGGAGUUUUCUUUAAGGUAGCAUACAUAUAAUUACACUUAUUACAGAUUAGGCAAUGCUCUAAGUACUGAUGCUCUACAUAGAUUAAUUUAUUUAACCCUCACAAAAGUCUUAUGAAGGAGAUGCUAUUGUCUCCAAAUUACUGAUACAGAGAAUGAGGUCAAGGGAUGAAGCAAUUUGCUCGUGUUAGCACAACCAGUAAGUGCUCAGUUGGGAUUUGAACAGGCUGUGUGGUCCCAGAGUCUAGCAGGCAUCUACCUCGAAGGUAAAAUACUUCUUGGCAGCUUGCUUUUGGAUUUACCUAUUAAAUAGAUUUUGGACAAAAUUGCAUAGAGAGGAAAGAAAACUUGAAGACAAAGUGAGCUAAGUGAGAAGAAAUAUCUUCAUUUAAAUUGGAGAACACACCCAAAGAAUGGGAAGAAGGGGACUUUUGCCCUUCAUUUGUUUCUAAUUAUGGAAAGAAAAAGGAGGUAAACUAGGAAGAAAGAAAAUAAGGCCCAUUUCAAAGAUAUACCAAAAAAAAAAAAAGAAAAGAAAGAAGAAAGGAAUUCAAAAGCAACACAGUUAUAAGGUAAGUGUAUGUGUAACAGCUUUUUAAAAAACUGCCAGCCAGGCACGGUGGCUCACGCCUGUAAUCCCAGCACUUUGGGAGGUCAAGGUGGGUGGAUGACCUGAGGUCAGGAGUUCAAGACCAGCCUGGCCAAUAUGGUGAAACCCUGCCUUUACUAAAAAUACAAAAAUUAGCUGGGCAUGGUGGUGGGCACCUGUAAUCCCAGCUACUCGGGAGGCUGAGGUGGGAGAAUCGCUUGAACCCGGGAGGCAGAGGUUGCAGUGAGCCAAGAUGGUGCCACUGCACUCCAGCCUGGGCGACAGAGCAAGACUCCAUCUCAAAAACAAAACAAAACAAAACAAAAAA